rnacentral:rRNA from 1 species
UACGAAGGGGUCUAGCGUUGCUCGGAAUCACUGGGCGUAAAGCGCACGUAGGCGGAUUUCUAAGUCAGGGGUGAAAUCCUGGAGCUCAACUCCAGAACUGCCUUUGAUACUGGGAAUCUCGAGUCCGGGAGAGGUGAGUGGAACUGCGAGUGUAGAGGUGAAAUUCGUAGAUAUUCGCAAGAACACCAGUGGCGAAGGCGGCUCACUGGCCCGGUACUGACGCUGAGGUGCGAAAGCGUGGGGAGCAAACAGG